GGCCUUGUGGUCUAGUGGUAUGAUUCUCGCUUUGGGUUGCUUCACCUAAUCUGCGAGAGGCCCCGCGUUCGAAUCGCGGCAGGGCCC